rnacentral:lncRNA from 1 species
UAAGCAUUCAUAGUGAAAAAAGUAUUCAAUUUAGCAAUCUUAUCAAUAUAAUCAUCACGGAUGGCAUAUUGAACAUCAUGGCUAUCAUAUAAUUAAUAUAACUAUCAUCAUUCACAUUCACACAUCCAAUCAUUAACCACUCACACCUUAGAUUCACCUAUUCCCAAAAUAGAUGCACUAUUCAUCAGGCUACGCCAAAUCCUAUUGUUUAGGACUUCUACCAUCACUCGGGAGAGAGGGCAAUGACAAUGAGUGUCAAACUCGAUAAUGCCCUCACACACACAGUCCCCAUUGUGCUUUGGGGCUUUGAUAAACACUUUCCUUACAAAUCAUGAUUUAUUAUUUACUUUUUAUAAUACGCUAAAUUUCGGAGGCGGGGGGGAGCGACCCAUCCAUUACACUUUCUACCUAAUUCCCCUCCUAUCGUACAAGGAUUUAACAAAUAUUGCUGGCCAUACUCUCUUAUCAAGUCACAUCACACCACCACAGAUAACCCAUGCGUGGCGUCACUCACUCACUUCACUACUAUCAAUUACAAAAGAGGGUCAUGCUUGGAGCAUUCCUUCAUAACACUAUUCACGUAGCAUUCAUUCUUUGGCACUUAGGCCUUUCACAUUUCCAACAUAUUUCAUUGUAUAACAUUCAUUAGAUGGCACGUUAGCAAAUGAAUAUUACAUGGCACUCAAUAAUUAACAUUCAUACUCAUGUCAUGAUACUCGCUGCAUAGUAUGCACAUUCACUAUUUAGAUAUCAC